UAAGCAGAUAGUGAAAUCACGUGGCUCAACCAUUGUGGCUAUUAUCUGAACUGGCGAGCUCGAGAAUGGUAGAGGUAGCUGGAAUUUCUAGUGUAGGAGUGAAAUCCGUAGAUAUUAGAAGGAACACCGAUGGCGUAGGCAGGCUACUGGACCAUUUCUGACGCUAAGGCACGAAAGCGUGGGGAGCGAACCGGAUUAGAUACCCGGGUAGUCCACGCCGUAAACGAUGGAUGCUA
rnacentral:rRNA from 1 species